rnacentral:rRNA from 1 species
AACGAACGCUGGCGGCAGGCUUAACACAUGCAAGUCGAACGCACCUUUCGGGGUGAGUGGCAGACGGGUGAGUAACGCGUGGGAAUCUACCCUUCUCUACGGGAUAGCUCCGGGAAACUGGAAUUAAUACCGUAUACGUCCUGAGGGAGAAAGAUUUAUCGGGGAAGGAUGAGCCCGCGUUGGAUUAGCUAGUUGGUGGGGUAAAGGCCUACCAAGGCGACGAUCCAUAGCUGGUCUAAGAGGAUGAUCAGCCACAUUGGGACUGAGACACGGCCCAAACUCCUACGGGAGGCAGCAGUGGGGAAUAUUGGACAAUGGGCGCAAGCCUGAUCCAGCCAUGCCGCGUGAGUGAUGAAGGCCCUAGAGUUGUAAAGCUCUUUCAGUGGGGACGAUAAUGACGGUACCCACAGAAGAAGCCCCGGCUAACUUCGUG